rnacentral:rRNA from 1 species
GAGCGCAACCCUUGUCCUGUGUUGCCAGCAUGCCCUUCGGGGUGAUGGGGACUCACAGGAGACCGCCGGGGUCAACUCGGAGGAAGGUGGGGACGACGUCAAGUCAUCAUGCCCCUUAUGUCUUGGGCUGCACACGUGCUACAAUGGCCGGUACAAUGAGCUGCGAAACCGUGAGGUGGAGCGAAUCUCAAAAAGCCGGUCUCAGUUCGGAUUGGGGUCUGCAACUCGACCCCAUGAAGUCGGAGUUGCUAGUAAUCGCAGAUCAGCAUUGCUGCGGUGAAUACGUUCCU